rnacentral:rRNA from 1 species
ACGAAGGGGGCUAGCGUUGUUCGGAUUUACUGGGCGUAAAGCGCACGUAGGCGGAUCGUUAAGUCGGGGGUGAAAUCCUGGAGCUCAACUCCAGAACUGCCUUCGAUACUGGCGAUCUUGAGUCCGGAAGAGGUGAGUGGAACUCCUAGUGUAGAGGUGGAAUUCGUAGAUAUCAAGCAGAACACCUGCGGCGAAGGCGGCCUUCUGGACGGUGACUGACGCUGAGACGCGAAAGCGUGGGGAGCAAACAGGA